CUAGAGGCUUCAUUGUUUAUUGAGGCUAAUGCCCUGCUGGAACAGGCCCGAGGAUAGUUGAACCAAUCUCUCGGGGAAUCAGAGGAGCAUCAGCCAAUGUGAGCAGGGGUUUGAAGAAGGAAAAGGUGUUUCCGAGACCUCUCACCCCAUCCAUCACCAGUGACUUCGCCUGAUACCUCUGACCUCCCCACUAAGGCCUUCUACCCCUCCAAAGGCACUGUCGCAGCAGGGGAGUCCCAGGGAAAGCAGGCGGGUUCUGAGGCACAGAGGAGCUGCUGAGAGCAGAGAAGGCCUUGGCGGAGACAGAGGAAUCUUGAAGGCAAAGCCACUGCUGUGUCCACCCUUCCCAUCCUCUACCUCCCUUGUCCCCAGAGGUAUCACACACAGCCCCUCGCCCUGGUCCCUGCACUGUACCAGGCCCACCUGGGACACCCCCACCUUAUUCAUGGAAUGGAGGGCCCUCCCUUGGCCUGCAGCUCAUUGCUUGCAGGUGACAUGAGUGACCUCUGCCCCCUGGUAGUCCAGCUGCCCAGCCACACCUCCCCAACGGGCUGCUAUUGGUCAUGACCUCUCAGGCAGGCAGGCAGGCAGGGAGUACAAAGCAAGAGCUCAAAUCAAAGCCACCGACCUCCCCCCAUCCAGCCUCUCCUUCCCGCCUGGGGCGCGCCUGAGAACUGUUGGGGCACACCAGGGGAAGGCGCAGUACCAGGGCUGUGACCACAGUGAUCAAAGGCCCUGUUCCACCCGUUUCACCAGGAAGUGGCAGCUACUUCAGGCCAGCCUCCUCUGUGAGGGCCCAGGACAGGAGCCUCGCACAGGGCAUGAGCUUCUGGGGCUGGAAUCCUAGCUAUACACCCUCUUCUCCUCAUUCGUAGCUUCUCCCGCCCCCACUUCCCCAGUCUGUCUUUGGCCUGACAGGUGCCUGGCUCCUCGAAGAGGAGCCCCUUGGGCCCCAGAACAGGGACUCGCAGGGGCCCAAGUGAGAGGGAGCACAGUAUGUUGGGAGAGAGCAGAGCCCCGCUGGCAGGUCUGGGUUCGGGCCCCUGUCCCACUACUGCAGUGACACGGUGGAGAGCGGCAUUCCGGGUACCCAGACGUGGCCUUUGUCCCUUGGUGGCUCCUAGAGCUCUGCUUCUGUGCCAGACUGUUUCCAAGGAACAAGUUAAUUUUCUUUUUCCAAGUGCUUGCUGAAGCUUAGCAUACAGAAUUUCUCAGCUGGUUCCAAGAAUCUGGCUUUUUGUCUGAGUCCCCAAAUUGUAGGAGCUUUGUAAACAGGAGGGAGAAGAGUGGGAGGGAGGAGAAGGAUCUGGAGUAUUUUCCUUCAUACUGUCAGCACAGCAGCAGCAUAAACCACGGGGGUCCCUGGUAGAAACUCAACACCCAGAGCAUUCUUCUUGGAGAAGCCAAGGUGGCUGUUACCUGCACACAAGAGAUGCCCAGAUCAGAGAAAGGGACUAGAAGGCAGGCAGACAGGUCAGUAGAGCCUUUCUCUGCCCCCCUCCUCCCUCACCCCAACGAGAGCUGGUCAGGGUAGGACCUGUGUACCCUGCACACACUUGCUUGGGGCCAUCAAGCCAGCUCAAGGGCAGGGCCAAGUCCAACCAGGACAACAUGCAGCCUGGCCAUAGGUAUUAGCUGCGGUCCCUCACCCUCAAUCCCCGAGGCAUUAGGAAGAGACAGGGCAUCACCUGUGCCCAGGGACCUGGCCAUCCCAAUUCAGAGAGCACAGCUGUUGUUCCAGCCGGGAGAUGCGGAAUGCCAGGUAGGAUGAGGACAUGACCAAGAAGCAGAUCCUGGAGAAAGAGAUAAAAAGGAGAUCUUAUCUGUAAAACGGGCAUUUUUAGAGGCUCACCAAAGAGGAUGGGGACUAAGCUACUUCCUGCAACUGGAGGAAGGAAAGAAUCCUUUACCCUUCAGCUGUGUCCAGGCCAGGAUACCUUUGUUCCCAGAGACUGUGUGGGGGUCCUGAGACUCGCCCCCACGGAGGUGUCCUCGAAGCCCAGCAGGAAAUGUGGGCCCUGAAACGGAGCCCACCUUCCCCCUGACCAGCCACCUUGGUCCUGGGCCUCUUCUUCAAGGCCACUAGGAUCAUCCCCUAAAGUGGUAGGUCCAUUCUCCCAGCAAGGGAGGUUGACAGCUGGCACUCAGCCAGCAGAACCAGAGGAAGGUCAGGAGGGAAGGGGAGGCGAGGCCAGGGGCUGGCCAUUCAUGCAAUGUCCCACCAUGCUCACCACUCUGCUGGCCCAUAGGUAGAAUUACAGGCAAGCCUGCGCUUCCAAAAACACGGCUCUGAAGGCGUAGCAGGAAGGCCGUGGCCCUCCCCUAGCCUGUCGGAUGGCCCCCGCCAAUUUUGUCAGCCCUCCCCCUCCCCAAUCCCGUGCAAUCUUUCCUUUUUUUUUUUAACAGCUUCAUAUCCUUCCCUCUCUACUGUGCACCCUUAACUCUAAAUUACAGGGGUGCAUGAAUAAAAACUGGAGACACUCUGUCGUGCUGUAGACUGGCCUGCUGUGUAGCCUCCAGACACACCCAGGAGCUUUCAGUUGACUUAGGGCCUUCCCUUCACUCAGACAGUGACCUCCCCACACACAGAGGCCCCUGCUCCAACAGCCAGACACCCAGGCGACUUUGGCCCCCGGCCCCCAGUAUAGUCACCUACAGCACAAAGAUGAUCUUGAGGAGCUGGUAAUCCCAGAGCCUCAGCUCCGCAUCGCUCCUGGACUCCUCCUCCAGCUUCUCCUCCUCACAGACCGCAUUCUCUGUGAUAGGAGAGCAGUUAGGCAUCUUCCUGGGGCAGGAGGCAAGAGCCCAGCCCAGCAAGGAGCACACACACCCCUUCCUAGCCCCCCCCUCCCCCCCCAUUCUCUCAAGCUGCUUGGGCUCUGGGCUUUCCCUUAUGGAUUAGGAUAAAGUAAGAAACAGUUCUCAGAAGCCUUGCUGGCUGUGAUUUCUCCUUUUUGCAGAAGUGGGGGCAGGGAAAGCCUGGUCUUUGCAAGCAGUCACGAGGAGCACCCUGAGCUCACCAGACCCUGGAGGCUUCCUGGAGGGAAAGAAGCUGUCCACGGAGUCCAUGGAUGCCCGAGGGAUACAAGGGAUGUUGUCUGGGAGGGACAGGGACCUGGAGGCAGGACACACUUUUCUCCACUUCAUCUCAGGGAUGAGGACUUCCUGCAGAGAAAUCAGGAAAAACUGUCUCUCUGUGAGCCUUGGGAUCUCACCUGUCCUAAGGGGGCCACACGAGUUUUCGCGAAGCUUUUUGAGAUAUUGCCAACAUGGAUACCUAGUGAGCAUGACGGCAGGGAACAAUGUCUUUGAAGACGGCUAGUACAGAACCACAGUGGGAUCUAAGACAUGAGCUAACCCAGGCUCUUCUUGCUGGAAGGCUAAGGAAGAAAGGGAACAGGAAUGACUUGUCCAUCUGGAACGGCCAAGGUCAGGAGUGAGGGGCUAUUAGCACUCUCCAGGAGAGCUUUACCUCCAAAUAAGCCACCUUGGGUCAAGAUGAAGCCUAGCUCCCAGAGUUUGCAGGGGUGCCCUAGUUAAUGCUGGAGCAGAGGGCAAACCCAUGGCAAGGUGCUUCCCCACGCUGCCGUCCCUCCCCACUGCCUCACCACGGGCAUACUGGAAAGGAGCCGCGUGCUUCUGUCCGUUCACGGCCUCUGACUCAAAGACACAUGCUCAUAGACACUCGGUCCAAGGACUAAGGUCAGGAUUCGCUGGGCUUGAGCCCAUUACUCCCCUCGCCCUGCCCUUGGUCCCUGUGCUGGAAAGAUGGGCCAACCACUCCCAACCGCCUGGUCCCAAGACCUCAGUCUAGGCCUGAGCAACCUCUCUGGCCCAACUCCUGCCCCUGAGCUCCAUACCUGUAGGUGUGUGCAGACCCUCCUCAGCAUGUCAUAUACACUGUCCCGGGAAAGCAGUGACACAAAGACGUACUGGGACAGAGAAAGAAAACAGAAAAGGGUGGGACACCACGGGAAUGACCACCUGAGGGCGGAGAGGCACGGGUAUCUCAGGACUCACGCCCAAGGACAUGAGUGCGUGAGUCCUGAGAGUGCUUCCUGCACAGGGCCCCAGCCACAAGCAGCUGUCAGCCGAGCACGGACACCAUGGACAAGCCUGCACCUAUGUGGGAGGAUAUGGAGCCUUCCACGUCUCAUGCAGGCUCCCCUUCCAGUUGUCCCACCACCCUGCCCCAGGCCUGGCAGCACACUGCUCUGGGCUCUCACCCUAUUGUCCAAGAGGCCAAAGGUGGUUGCCCUGGUGAUCCCCAUUCUCUGCCUUCAAGCCUUCCGGCCAGUGCAGACUGCAAAGGAGACAUUCCAUUCCAGGGACAAGGAACCCUCGAGAUCUGCCCAUCGUAAUAGUCUCCAGCUCCCACCAUGUCACUGCAAGUGGUAAGAGUUCAUUCUUUCUUAUUUGCCCCUUCCCACCCCCAAGCCGGAUGUACAUCUGACUGGGAGGGGCCUCACCUGGAGUCCAGGGGUGCCUGAACCCUGGCUAGCUUCUCUGAGCAGGACACAGGGCUCUUCAGAGAAGCCGUCUUUCCAUGCAUCUGUUGGUGGCUGAGCAGAAACAGGCCCACAUCAGGAAGGCGGUCUGUGGAACAGCUCCAGGGAAACAGCUCCAUGCCCAGGGCAGCUCCUCUGCCCGCACCCAGACCAGCCCUGCCAUUCAGGCUGAAGCUGCAGGUGUCACAGUCCAGAGGCCAGCAGCUCAGGCAGGGGUUCUCGGGCCCCCAACAAAGAGGGCAACCACAUGCUGCCUUUUCUGGAAGCCUGCAGGUCGGUUUAUGCCCAGACGGGAAGGAAAAUCAGCCUACCUUGGUGGAGCACCAGGCAGGCAGGCCAUCAGCCGCACCCUUGAGAAAGCACAGUGGGAGGGAGGACUCUAAGACUCGCUCCCGGCUGAAAGCAAAGGUUUCUGAGGUGCCUGGGGAGCACUACCAUAAGCCAUCGGGAUCUGGGAAAGGAUGCUGAGCACGGGAAGCCGAAGCAGCGCUGAGGAACUGGUGCCACAGAUGGUGUGGGAGGGGCUCCGGUCAGCCCACAGGUGACUAUGGGCUGGGAGGCAGGGGCGGCCCUGCACCAUGAAGUGGCCUUUGGUGGCCUUCACCUUGGCCCUGAGAGCCAAACCAUCUCAAAAAUGUCCCAGACAAAAAAAAAAAAAAAAUUGUCCCAGACAGAGGGCCCUGGAGGGAGGAGACACCAUCUCCCCGGGCGGGUGGGGUUCCCCAGUGGCUUUCGAGUUCAUGCCUCCACUAAACAGCUCCACACUAGGGAUCAACACAUCAACUGAGCGGGCCCGGAAGCUGACGGGAAGAGAGGGCGGCCAAGGAGCAGGGCCAAGGCAGGGCCCUCAGUGGUCACAGGAACAGAGUUGCCCACUGGGCCGAGAUCUGCCAAGACCCUCACAGAUGCCUUAGUCUGCGCCCCCUACCAUGCUGUGUACACAGGAGGAAACUGAGACCCGCCAGGGGACCGGCCGGACCCAGUGUCACACAAGGAAGAGCCGGGUAACCUCACCCCACAAAAUCAGCCCAUCCACAGCCACGCGGCCUGGUGACCUCUGCCUUUAACCUUAUGGAGAAUCUUGGUACACACACUAACAUAGGUUUCCUGAAUCUUGCUUAAAAAAGUGACACGUUUUGCUAGAGAUUUGACCCUUUUGACUCGCAAAGGUAAUUACUAUAUUUAUGUGGUUCCCUCCUUUCACAUUUCAAGAGGGUUUUCUCUCCCCCUUCUUGAUUUUUAUUAUGCUCAUUAUAGAAAAUAUGAAAAAGAUUUAAUACAUAAAUACGAUGAUCAAAAUCACCCAGAAGGAAAAGAAGUCUUCAAAAAUCACCCAAGGAAAAGAUUUAUGCAUAAAUACAGAACCUUUGUGAAUGGAAUUAUGCAUUAUAAUACAUAUAUCUUACUUUUGUUGCUUAAUUAACGUGAUCUGAUGAGGAUUCCCCGUGUCCCCGUCCAUGGCUGAGACAGAUUCUCAGAAGUGUAAUUCGUGGGUAGAGAGUGCACCUUUCUCGGGCUCUUUACAGCCACUCACAAAGUGCUUCCAGACGCUCUGCUGGCGACCACGGCCAUCAGCGCGACAUGAGGGUGCCCGUUUCCCGACAUCCAUGGGAUGGUUGGCUCCCUCGCCCUGGCUAUUCUCUUUUUCUCACUUUUGCAAAUUUGAUACGUGGAAAUAUGCUAUUUUCAUUUCUCUUUCUGCUCACUGACGGGUUGAACGAGUUUUCCCACGUGUGCAUAUUAACCACUGGACCUUCACCUGUGAAUGGUCUUUCAGGUUCCUCACGUUUGCCCUACUGAUUUGUAUUAAAUGCUUUC